rnacentral:tRNA from 1 species
AGUCCAGUGGUUAGGACUCUGCACUUUCACUGCUGUGGACCUGGGUUCAAUCCCUG